AUGGGUGUCAUGCUCAAAUAAAAAAUAGGCCUUCAGGUUUCGGUCCCCAAUCUACCAAACCGCCUUUGUUUCUCUCUCCGUCAAAAGAGUUGUAAUUCUGCCGCCUACUGAUACAGUAGGUUUUGAUUGAGAAACAUCGGAAAAACCACAAAAUCCAAACUCUUCCAAUCAUAAUUUAUGUUUAUGAAUUCAGGAUCGGUGUCCCUGAGAUCUAUGAUGGGUCCUCUGCAGCAUUUGGUGUCCAAGAGGACACCAUGCACCGUCUCGACAAUGCUCAGCGCGAGGCUAUCAUAUUGCCUUCCACGUAGUUUCCCACUGGGGUGACGAGGAGGAAGGCAAGAGCCAUGUGGCUGAGACAGGGAGGAGAGUGAGAGAGAAAAAGAGGCACGUGGCGGAGGCAGAGAAGGAGAGAGAAGGAUUUGGUUAAGAAUUUAGUUAUGGGUAUCAUUGAUGUUCGAGAUCUUUGCUUUUUGGACUUUAUGUUUCAAACUUUCAAUAUUCUUCCAUUGCUCCAAACAAAAAGAAAAAAAAAAAA